rnacentral:rRNA from 1 species
UGGGGAAUUUUGGACAAUGGGCGAAAGCCUGAUCCAGCAAUGCCGCGUGUGUGAAGAAGGCCUUCGGGUUGUAAAGCACUUUUGUCCGGAAAGAAAUCCUUGGCUCUAAUACAGUCGGGGGAUGACGGUACCGGAAGAAUAAGCACCGGCUAACUACGUGCCAGCAGCCGCGGUAAUACGUAGGGUGCAAGCGUUAAUCGGAAUUACUGGGCGUAAAGCGUGCGCAGGCGGUUUGCUAAGACCGAUGUGAAAUCCCCGGGCUCAACCUGGGAACUGCAUUGGUGACUGGCAGGCUAGAGUAUGGCAGAGGGGGGUAGAAUUCCACGUGUAGCAGUGAAAUGCGUAGAGAUGUGGAGGAAUACCGAUGGCGAAGGCAGCCCCCCUGGGCCAAUACUGACGCUCAUGCACGAAAGCGUGGGGAGCAAACAGGAUUAGAUACCCUGGUAGUCCACGCCCUAAAACGAUGUCAACUAGUUGUUGGGGAUUCAUUUCCUUAGUAACGUAGCUAACGCGUGAAGUUGACCGCCUGGGGGAGUACGGUCGCAAGAUUAAAACUCAAAUGAAUUGACGGGGUCAUAGCUGUUU